rnacentral:rRNA from 1 species
GAUGAACGCUGGCGGCGUGCCUAAUACAUGCAAGUCGAGCGAACAGACGAGGAGCUUGCUCCUUUCACGUUAGCGGCGGACGGGUGAGUAACGCGUGGAUAACCUACCUGUAAGAGUGGGAUAACUACGGGAAACGGGAGCUAAUACCGGAUAAUAUAUUGAACCGCAUGGUGCAUUAGUGAAAGACGGUUUUUCUGGACCUUAUAGAUGGAUCCCCGCGUCUUUGGCUGGUUGUUAAGGUACCGGCCUACCAAGGCAAGGAUGCGUAGCCGAACGGAGGGGGGGAUAGCCCACCCUGGAACUGGGCCACGGUCAAGACUCCUACGGGAGGCAGCAGAAGGGAAUCUGCGGCAAUGGGCGAAAGCCUGACGGAGCAAGGCGGCGUGAGUGAUGAAGGUCUUGGGUGCGUAAAACUCGGUUUUUGGGGAAAAACAGAUGUGUAAUGAAAUAUGCACGUCGUGACGGUAACUAAUCAGAAAGCCACGGCUAACUACGUG